ensembl:miRNA
CCAUCUGAUAGCUGCUGUGGCACGGAAAUAUCAACCAUCUGCGCCACAGGGAAGCUCUCUGGUGG